rnacentral:rRNA from 1 species
UACGUAGGGUGCGAGCGUUAAUCGGAAUUACUGGGCGUAAAGCGUGCGCAGGCGGUUCGUCGUGUCCGAUGUGAAAGCCCCGGGCUUAACCUGGGAACUGCAUUUGUGACUGCAUGGCUGGAGUGCGGCAGAGGGGGGUGGAAUUCCACGUGUAGCAGUGAAAUGCGUAGAGAUGUGGAGGAACACCGAUGGCGAAGGCAGCCCCCUGGGCUAACACUGACGCUCAUGCACGAAAGCGUGGGGAGCAAACAGG